GAUGAAGAACGCAGCGAAAUGCGAUAAGUAAUGCGAAUUGCAGAAUUCCCGUGAGUCAUCGAAUCUUUGAACGCACAUUGCGCCCACUGGUAUUCCGGUGGGCAUGCCUGUUCGAGCGUCAUUAUCCUCCCUCAAACCCCGGGUUUGGUGUUGGACCCAAGUUGUGUGUACAACUGGUCUCAAAGACAAUGACGGCGUCCGUGGGACCCUCGGUGCAACGAGCUUUUAGGAGCACGCAUCGAGUUGCAAGGACCUUCCGGGCCGGUCUCCUUUACCAUUUUACAAGGUUGACCUCGGAUCAGGUAGGAAUACCCGCUGAACUUAAGCAUAUCAAUAAGCGGAGGA
rnacentral:misc_RNA from 1 species